rnacentral:rRNA from 1 species
UACGGAGGGAGCUAGCGUUGUUCGGAAUUACUGGGCGUAAAGCGCACGUAGGCGGCUUUGUAAGUUAGAGGUGAAAGCCCGGGGCUCAACCCCGGAAUUGCCUUUAAGACUGCAUCGCUUGAAUCCAGGAGAGGUGAGUGGAAUUCCGAGUGCAGAGGUGAAAUUCGUAGAUAUUCGGAAGAACACCAGUGGCGAAGGCGGCUCACUGGACUGGUAUUGACGCUGAGGUGCGAAAGCGUGGGGAGCAAACAGG